rnacentral:lncRNA from 1 species
GGCAUAUGGAAGUUCCCGGGCUAGGGGUUGAAUCAGAGAUGCAGCUGCCGGCCUACACCACAGCCACAGCAAUGUGGGAUCUGACCUACAUCUGUGACCUAUACCACAGCUUGUGGCAAUACUGGAUCCCACUAACCCACUGAGUGAGGUCAGGGAAAGAACCUGCAUCCUCAUGGAUACCAGUUAGGUUCUUAACCCACUGAACCACAAUGAGAACUCCUGCCUUCACUUUAAAAUGGUAAACAAAACAAGACAAAACAAAACCCUUCCCAAGAAGAAAGUUUAGAAGUCCUUGUUCUAGUAUGUAAAGUAGUGUAACCAUAUUUUUUUCACCUUAACUGUGAACUGAAUACAAGAGACGAAAGAAUGAUUAGCUGAUUAUAGCUAUAGGAAAGGCAAGGAAGCACAUAAGUCAUGUCUCUAGUACCAAGGGUCAGAAAAGUGGAGGCAAAGGGGAGAGGUUAAAAACAAAACAAAACACCCAAGUCUUCCAUCUGGAUGCAGAGCAGAGGUGCUGGGAAUGGAAGCUUGUCAAAGGCAAGGAAGGCUGAUUCAAUUUUAGAGAACUUAAUAUGGAUGGAAGAAGUGAGUCAACAAUUGAGAACUGUUAUAAACCAGGUGAGAGAGCUGCUCAGGAUAUGGUUGGAACCGAAGGUCAAGAUGCAGGAAAGGGCUAGUCUAGAGGUGCAUACAUGAUGGUUUUCUUCAGGAGAAGCUUCAGGCUUUCCAUAUUCUUCAAUGUGACACACAGAACCAAACUGAUUAUUUUUCAAGUAUUUUCUGCCUAGGGCCCAGCACAGUGGGCAUAAGUCUGUGAUAUGAAGACUGUGUCCAUUAAUGCCAACUGUGAGCAAGACAGGUUUCUAGCAGCUACAUCCUGCAAUAGACUUAUAUUUAAAUUUGCAGCCAAAUAAAACCCUCAGAGUUCUUUUAUUUAUUUAUUUAUUUAUUUAUUUAUUUAUUUAUUUAUUUAUUUCAUGACUUUAUGUUUAUUCCAGUUAUAUUUAAUCUUUUUGGUGUGGAUCCAGCAAUACAGACUGCCAAAAAUUCAGAUUGCUAAAUAAGGGAUACCAAUUGGUUAUUUUCUAUCCUCCCUGGAGAAACUAAGGAACUUCAAGUUAAAAAAUGCAUCCUGAGGAAUUUGAGUAAGAUAUAAAGAAUUUCCUAAUGGGAAGAUCAGAGAAGCUGGAAUAGAUAUAGGGAAAUUUGGGGGGGGGUUCUACUUUAUAAAAAAAAAAUCAAGACUGCUUUUUUAAAAAAAUUAUAAUGUUUCAUCUUCCUAAAAAGGCUUAAAACACAGCCCUUUAAGUAAACUUCUAUCCCUGCUUCAAGGAGAACUGGUCAAGCUUUCUUUGUGCCCCACAUGCACCUUGUUUUAACAUAGAUCAUAAUACUGGGAAGAUGCAUUGCCCUUCUUUGCUUAUUUGUCCUCUUCUUAUAAUAGACCGUAAAGCCCUUGAGGAUAAGAAUCAUAAUCAUAUCUCUUUUGCCCUUAUAUCCCAGAUAUAAGGCUUUAUAUGGAUUUAAAUGGGCAUUUAUCUGGAUUUAAAUGGACAUUAAACAGAUUUUUAAUGGUUAACUUAAUAAAUCACUGAAUGUAGGAAAAGGGUUUCAGCUAUUUCAUCAACACACCUUCAGCAUCUGUUAUAUUCCAGGUAGAGCUAGAAAUCCACAGGACCAAGGCCACUGUUUUGGCCUCUUCAGGGACAAUGAGAGAAAGGGGAUUAGACCAGGUGAUCUAUGAAGAUGACCUUGAGUGUUGUGGAUCUUUCAUAUCCAUAAUGUUAGAUCCAAGACCAUUUACAUACAAAUAUUACAACCUGCCUCAGAGAGAAAUCUAAUUUAGCAGAUUUUAAAAAUACUUAAAACGUGGGUUUUCACAUAAAAAUAAAAGAUCUUACCAUUUUACGUUGAUCCCUAAGGCAUUUUAUGGCAUUUGUAAAUAAGUGGUCUUAUUUCUAAAGUUAUAAGGAGACAUAUAAUACUUCAAAUGCAAAGUCAAAAAUACAUAGUUUUACGUAAUUUUCAUGCACUAAUACAUGGUUUUUUUCACAAACAGUGCUUACAUUUAGCAUCUUGAAUCAUCUUUGGCAGAGUGAUGUCUACAGAUGUAGGAAGCUAUUUUCACUUGGUUGAGUGACUUAGUAGGUAUUAAAAUCAGUUCCUCACUGGAGUUCCUGUUGUGGCUCAGUGGUUAACGAAUCUGACUAGUAACCAUGAGGUUGCAGGUUCGACCCCUGGCCUUGCUCAGUGGGUUAAGGAUCUGGCAUUGCCAUGAGCUAUGGUGUGGGUCACAGAUAUGGCUCGGAUCUGGUGUUGCUGUGGCUCUGGUGUAGGAUGGCGUCUACAGCUCCAAUUAGACCCCUAGCCUGGGAACCUCCAUAUGCCCCAGGAAGUGGCCUUAGAAAAGGCAAAAAGACAAAAAAUAAAAAUAAAAUAAAAUCAGUUCCUCAUUUUCUCAUUUAUAAAGAUGUUUCAGUAACUCAUGGAGGUAAUAGUUUUGCUUUCUUGGAAGUUCAAGAUAGAUUUAUAAACUAACUGCCUUUUCUACAAAGUAGUCUGGAUGCUUGUGAACUAUCAUAUACAUGUGCACAUGCUCAUUCCACUGCUCUGAAUAUCUAAAGAU